rnacentral:lncRNA from 1 species
CUAGGUAUCCUCUAGGUAUCCUCUAGGUAUCCUCUAGGUGUCCUCUACUCUAGGUGUUCUCUAGGUAUCCUUUAGGUGUUCUCUAGGUAUCCUUUAGCUGUCCUCUAGGUAUCCUCUAGCUGUCCUCUAGGUGUCCUCUAGCUGUGCUCUAGGUAUCCUCUAGCUGUUCUCUAGCUACCCUCUACUCUAGGUGUUCUCUAGGUAUCCUCUAGCUGUCCUCUAGGUAUCCUUUAGCUGUCCUCUAGGUAUCCUCUAGCUGUCCUCUAGGUAUCCUCUAGGUAUCCUCUAGCUGUCCUCUAGGUAUCCUCUAGGUAUCCUCUAGCUGUCCUCUAGCUGUCCUCUAGGUAUCCUCUAGCUGUUCUCUAGCUAUCCUCUACUCUAGCUGUCCUCUAGGUAUCCUCUAGCUGUUCUCUAGCUAUCCUCUACUCUAGCUGUCCUCUAGGUAUCCUCUAGCUGUGCUCUAGGUAUCCUCUAGCUGUGCUCUAGGUGUCCUCUAGCUAUCCUCUAGGUACUUUCCCCAGUCCAGCUCUCUUUCAUCAGUGCAGAUUAAGGAAAGGAGUUGAAUCAGAAGAAGAGACAAAACGGGUGUGUCUCAAAUGUAACCCUUUUCACUUCAUAGUGCCCUACUUUUGACCCCGAACUUUAACCUUGUUCAAAAGUUGUGCACUAUGAAUAAGGUCCCAUUUGGAACGCAGACAAUACUGUAUGUCUAGGCUAUUGACACGCACCUAGAGGGGGAUUGACAUAUAGAUAAUUGAAGAGGUUCAUCCACAGGAGGAUAAAACAGAGUGGUACAGGAGGAUAAAACAGAGCGGUACAGGAGGAUAAAACAGAGCGGUACAGGAGGAUAAAACAGAGCGGUACAGGAGGAUAAAACAGAGCGGUACAGGGGGAUAAAACAGAGCGGUACAGGAGGAUAAAACAGAGCGGUACAGGAGGAUAAAACAGAGCGGUACAGGAGGAUAAAACAGAGCGGUACAGGAGGAUAAAACAGAGCGGUAGAGGAGGAUAAAACAGAGCAGUACAGGAGGAUAAAACAGAGCGGUACAGGAGGAUAAAACAGAGCAGUACAGGAGGAUAAAACAAGGGUACAGGAGGAUAAAACAGAGCUGUACAGGAGGAAAGAGAAGAACGGGGGAUUUUACACAGAAAGAAAGAGGAUGAAGAGAGGACAGGAAUUCAGUUUCGAAGGUUUCUCAUAACACAACUGAAAAGGGAAGAAGUUAUUUACUCCACUUCAAAUAUGAACCAGUUUCCUUCCAAUGCAUGAUCACAUGGUGUGUGGCCCAAUUGUCACACUAUUCACUAUAUAGUGCACUCAUUUUGAACAGGGCCCAUUUGGGCUCUGGUCAAAAGUAGUGUACUAUAUAGGGAAUGGGGUGCCAUUUCGGACUCACCCGUACUGUAUAGACACCUGAAACAUAUGUGCAGUUAAGUACGUCACAGGCACUUUUGACAGGGCACAUACAGGGCUCUGAUCAAAAGUAGUGCACUAUAGAGGGAAUAAGGUGCCAUCUGGGACACAGCCUUUGUAUUUCAACAGUAUCACUGUAUUGUAUUGUUAGUCAGCUGUGUUGUCAUGGUUCCUAGCUCAGGUGUUUUGAGUGGCCU